GCCAUAUCAUAUUGAAACACCUGUUCUCAUGCAAUCACCAAAGUUAAGCAACAUUGAGCCUAGUCAGCAGCUAGAUGGCUGACUGCUUGGGAAUAACAGGUGUUGUAA